GCCCCCCCGCCCCAGAGAGCGGCCGGGUGGAAACCGGACGGUGCCUGGGAACGCACACGGCUUUCCUGUCUUUGCUCUGCUGAUUUGGCAGAGUAGAUCUUUGUUUUCAGCCCUCUUUACAGUAAAGCACUUUUUGACUACUGAACGUUUCACGGGUGGUGCAGGAAAGGGUGGCAAACGGCGGCGGUUACGUUAUUUUUUGUGGAAGCCACGAAGCUGUCGGGAAUUCAGCUGCAGCGUCGGGACGAGACGGACCGGGGGCCCCCGGUAUCUCCCCGCGUUUUGAUUUAAUCGCCGCGCCAAACGAUACAUUGCGCUGAACUGCUUGUCCUGCAGCCCAUUCCGACUUUAUCAAAGACACUGCUUCGUAUUAACAGUUAAAAGAAAAACAGACAAGGCUGACUCCCAAAGACCCAGAUCCUAUAAAGGAAGUAAAACGUGAACGGGAAUAAUACGGUGACUGCAGUGCACGGAAUAUCGGCGGGUGAAAUAUGGAUCUGACGUCUCUGGAACACGAACGGCAGCGUCGGAACACCACAUGAGUAAACGGUGCGCUCCCCAAAGCCAGAUCCAUCACCUCUGCCGAAGGGGUCCCCCCGCACUGACACAUGCACACAAUCAAUUCAACCGCCCGAAAGCGAUCGCGUUCUUCAUUCGCUGCAGCCAGAGCCCUCCUCGGCGCGGUGACCUGACCCGCCGCGGCUAGUUUUAUGGCAGGAGGCAUUGAAUUAGCGGGACACAGAUCCAAAAUUUAAUUAAAUUAAUUACUUAAUUAAACAAAGGAGAGGAGUGCGUGUUCGUGAGCCUGCCGACCUGCAUUAGCAGCGCGUCCUCCCCGAAGAACAGCCGCUCCCUCGCCGCUGCCGCCCGGCCCUGGCCCCAUUACCUCCCGCUGCCCCCUCCCAGCGCCCGACGGUGUGAAGCCGAGGCCGAGCUCCACGCAUUCUCUCGGUUUCAGCCCGGCCCCGCGGCUCCCGGACUCAGAGUCCCCGAGGAUCGCCCCUCUGCUCGGAUGUGACCCCGCGCCGUUCACUCACUCUCUCAUCUGCGCCCAUUGUGUUCACAACUGUGUCCUUUUCUUUCACCUCCCUCCCCCCCAAGUGUCUUCCAACCUGUCUGUUCCCCUCCUUCCCUCUCCCACCCCUCCACCCCGCCUCUGAUCUCCGGGAUAUUUGGUUUCUUUCCCUUUCUCAAUGUGUGUUCCUGAUGUGGUCCUGUCGGAAAAGCUCGUUUACUCUGCUCGGGUCUCCAGUGGUUUAAGGAUAAUGUUUAUCAGAAGUGAACGUGCUCAACUUGUUUCCAUUCAACUGCUGAGUGUGGGCUGAAAUACCAAAGGUCACAUCUACAGUGAGUCGGUAGAGGGCAGGGGGAGCCGAGAGGAAUAUGAAAACAUUGUAAUAUACAACAGCCUGUUGAUCGCUUGUGACCCGCCUGGCAAAAAGAUUAAUUUUUUUCAGCCUAACGAAGCAAUGAGGGCAAACCGAAGUUGGUCCCGGGGUCACUGUGCCGGUGACGGAGCCCCGGAUCUGAAGGGAAACUAAAGGUGACAGCAGUGAAAGCCCCCCCGUGACAGCGCCGCGAGCACCGCACUGCCAGGCUGGGACACAGCCCCCUGCGAAACCCCUUCGGGGAGGGAGGGAGCGGGGGAGCACCGCGUCACCGCGUAGGGAACGGCCGAGGGACACUCUCUCUCGGCAGCACGGGGGACAGACGGCACAGAUAGCCUCCGACCGACGGACACGGCCCUGCCUCAGUCCAUCGCAGGUCCCCCUCGGCGAAGGCGGUGCGGGCCGCACCGCGCUGCAACACACCGAGGGCACAGGGACAGGUGAAAAAAAAAAAAACAGUGGUGCCGACUCAGCGAUGAGUCGGUGGCCUUUCCGCUGCCCAUAUCGGGGGCUGCCCGACCCAUCCCCCAGCCGGCAGAUCUCUCUCGGUCAGGGGUGCGUCCCCCCUGCCCCGUCCCAGCCACCGCCCUGCUCCCUCUCUGUGCUUGGGUGUUGGGAGAGA